rnacentral:rRNA from 1 species
UACGUAGGGGGCUAGCGUUGUCCGGAAUCAUUGGGCGUAAAGCGCGUGUAGGCGGUCCGGUAAGUCCGCUGUGAAAGUCGGGGGCUCAACCCUCGAAUGCCGGUGGAUACUGUCGGACUAGAGUCCGGAAGAGGCGAGCGGAAUUCCCGGUGUAGCGGUGAAAUGCGCAGAUAUCGGGAGGAACACCAAUGGCGAAGGCAGCUCGCUGGGACGGUACUGACGCUGAGGCGCGAAAGCGUGGGGAGCAAACAGG